ACUUCGGCAAGUCUCCUUCUCGAGGUCUCUCUCUGAGGACUGAGUAUUAGGGUUCACAUACGUGAGCGCGAGGAGGAACCUCUUUUGAGUUUUCUCCUUUCUUUUAACUGAUUUUACUAGAAAACAGACGUCCCUGUUUAGACGCCAGUCGAUCGUCCAGUGUCAUCACCCUGCCUGCUGGCUGGGCAGAGUAACUCCUCAGGUCACCACCCUCUCCACCCUGCCUUGGGCUUGGAGAGUGAGGAGGAGGGCAAGGGACAUCUGGCAACCCUGAACAUCCGCCAUCCAUCGCUCCAUCACCUAGAGCAAGGCUGACCAUCCAUGAGGCCGAAGACCUGUGGUGUUGGGACUGGCACCAGGACAGCUGGCUCCUGGGUUACAGGAACACAACCAGGGUGGGGGAGGUCUUUAGAAAGUUCUUCUCAGAGGAGUAGAGAAGAUUCUUCCUCCGGACAACAGUGCUGGCCAUUCACGACCCCCUGCUGCGUGUCAGCCAGGCUGGGCUGCUCCUUGCCUACUCCGUCCUGGGGGAAGCCCAGCAGCUGAUGGGGGACAAACAGGAGGACAUCACAGCCAAUGUGAUGCACCAGCUCCACAUCAUCCGGCACUUGCGCCGGAUGCCCGAGGCACUGCAGGGGCUGUGCCUCUGAGGCCACCAGCAGCUCCCGCUUCCUGCUGCAGGUACUGCUCUGGCUCCCUGUAAAUGGGGAGCUAGUGGAAGAGGAAAUGGAGCACCCAGCACUCACAGAAACUUUCUCCCCUCUCUAUGGAGCAGGGUCCUUCCCUCUGCCCCCCAAAUUCCUUCAUCUCACACCCACUCCCCUCCCUCCUUUCCUUGGUCUACUCCCAUCCCAUUCCCCCUGAUCCCAGGCAGAGCUCUCCCUGCCCCAUAUGGUGCAGAAGGGCUCUUGUGUCAGGCCACACCCCUAGCCCCACUGAAGCUUGGAAAGCUCCAUUUUUGAGGAGGUAGGGGUGGGACAGAGGCUCAGGACUAGCUUCACCUCCUGCCCUUUAUUCUCCCCUUGGCCCUUCUAUGGGGUCUCUGAGUGUAAAAUGAAUAGGAGCCUCCUUCCCAGCUGUCUUCCAGGACCUGGGAUCUGUCACAGCCUCCCAGACGGGUGCAUCCUGCAGCUGAGCCACCUCCAGGAGCAGUGGGGACAGAUCACCUUGUCCCAUCAAAGCAAGCAAUGCUGGGUCUCAAAGAGGCUUAGAUGGAAGACCCCGCUCCCUCAUGGAGGAAGGAGGCUCCCCAGAGAUGUCCUCGAACCUGCACUCCUGAGAGCGUUUCCAGCUCCACUUCCUGCAGCAGGGCAAAUGAACCCUUCAGCUCCCAAAAUCCCAUCUCUUUGACCUCCUUCCGCUGAGCAGUGGGGUUUCUCCAGCCCCCUCACCACACCUGUCAGCCUCUGAAUGAUGAAGGGCCUGAAUGUCAGAGUCACCAGAACAAGCAAACUCCAGUUCCAGGCAGUGGAGCCUGUGUGUAUUCAGCCCCUCUGGAAACCAGGUCUGAAAUGGGGAGCAAAGACCCCAGCUCAGGAACAGUCGGAGUGAGCAGAGCAGGCCUGUAACAGGGUGCUUUCCCCUGGGCUGCACAGCCUGGGGUCUAGCCAAGAUGAUUACAGAAUGAGCCCUAACUGAGAGGCACCAUGUACCUCCCCCUGAAGAGCCAGACUUCAGUGGUGAUACAGCCCAGCUGGGGUAUCAACUGGAAUGAGAACGAGGUAGGAAGUUCAGAGCAGCAAGGAAAGCCUAGAGGGGAACUUGAGAAGAGAGAUAGGAAGUGCCCAGGGAAAACUGCAGCAAAGAGAAAGGAGCAGACCAAGUUGUUGGGAACAGGGCCCUGGGCUGCUACCGAUGUGAGGGUGGGACUGGGUUCCCCUACUGGCCCCAAAGAAGGGGGCAUACACACACCCAUAGAGGGUUACCAAGCCCAGCAAGGGGUACAGGCUGAGCAAGAGCCCCAGCAAUGGCAGAAGGACUUCUUUCUGUCGAAAGACCUCUUUGGACUUUUAGUGUGAGACAAGCUGGGCCCCAGAAGGGUGAACUAAAAAGGUGGUCACCUGGCGGAGGGCUAAGUUACCAGGCAGAGAAACUGCCAUAGUGCUGGAGCGACCAUGGAUGGGGGAUGCUAGCCCAGCAAGAGGGCUGUGCUGCCAUGCCUGGCUGCCAGGGGGGCACGUAACGAUGAGUAGAUUCAUUUAUGAUCGGCAUAGUCAGGAGGAUUGAUUUGACUGUAUUCAGUAAGGACCAGUAAGGAGGUUUUGGAACAAAUUGAUAAAUUAAACAGGAACAAGUCACCAGAACUAGAUGGUAUUCACCCAAGAGUUCUAAAGAAACUCAAAUGUGAGAUUGCAGGACUACUAACUAACUGUGGUAUGUGACCUAUCCUUUAAAUCAGCUUCUGUACCAGAUGACUGGAGGUUAGCUAAUAUGACACCAAUGUUUAAAAAAGGCUCCAGAGACGCUCUCAGCAAUUACAGGCCACUAAGGCUAACUUCAGUACCAGGCAAAUUGGGUGAAAUUAUAGUAAAGAGCAGAAUUAUUAGACACAUAGAUAAACACAAUUUGUUGGGGAAGAGUGAACAUGGUUUUUGUAAAGGGAAAUUAUGCCUCACGAAUCAACAAGCAUUUGGAUAAAGGUGAUCCAGUGGAUAUAGUGUACUUAGAUUUUCAGAGAGCCUUUGACAAGGUCCCUCACCAAAGGCUCUGAAGCAAAAUGGGAUAAAAUGGAAGGUCCUCUCUGGGAUAGGUAACUGGUUAAAAGGCACGAAAGAAAGUGUCCGACUAAAAGGUCAAUUUUCAGAAUGGAGAGAGGUAAAUAGUGGUGUCCCUCAGGCAUCUGUACUAGGACCAGUACUGUUCUGGAAAAAGGAGUAAACAGUGAGGUGGCAACAUCUGCAGAUGAUACAAACCAACUCAAGUGAGUUAAGUCCAAAAGAGACUGCAAAGUGUGACAAAGGGAGCUCACCACACUGGGUGACUGGGCAGCAAAAUGGCAGAUGAAAUUCAAUUCUGAUAAAUGCAAAGAA